GAUGAACGCUGGCGGCGUGCUUAACACAUGCAAGUCGAACGAAGCACUUAAUGAGAUUUCUUCGGAUUGAUUAUUUUGUGACUGAGUGGCGGACGGGUGAGUAACACGUAUCCAACCUUCCGUUUACUCAGGGAUAGCCUUUCGAAAGAAAGAUUAAUACCUGAUAGUAUGGUGAGAUUGCAUGAUAGCACCAUUAAAGAUUUAUUGGUAAACGAUGGGGAUGCGUUCCAUUAGGUAGUAGGCGGGGUAACGGCCCACCUAGCCGACGAUGGAUAGGGGUUCUGAGAGGAAGGUCCCCCCACAUUGGAACUGAGACACGGUCCAAACUCCUACGGGAGGCAGCAGUGAGGAAUAUUGGUCAAUGGGCGAGAGCCUGAACCAGCCAAGUAGCGUGAAGGAUGAAGGUCCUACGGAUUGUAAACUUCUUUUAUACGGGAAUAAAGUAUCCUACGUGUAGGAUUUUGUAUGUACCGUAUGAAUAAGCAUCGGCUAACUCCGUGCCAGCAGCCG
rnacentral:rRNA from 1 species